rnacentral:rRNA from 1 species
GACGUAGGGCGCAAGCGUUUGUCCGGAUUUAUUGGGCGUAAAGAGCUCGUAGGCGGCUUGUUGCGUCGACCGUGAAAACCCGUGGCUCAACUGCGGGCUUGCGGUCGAUACGGGCGGGCUAGAGUUCGGUAGGGGGAGACUGGAAUUCCUGGUGUAGCGGUGAAAUGCGCAGAUAUCAGGAGGAACACCGAUGGCGAAGGCAGAUCUCUGGGCCGUAACUGACGCUGAGGAAGCGGAAAGCCGUGGGGAGCGAACAGG